rnacentral:rRNA from 1 species
ACGAAGGGGGCUAGCGUUGCUCGGAAUUACUGGACGUAAAGGGAGCGUAGGCGGGUUAUCAAGUUGGAGGUGAAAGCCCAGGGCUCAACCUUGGAAUUGCCUUCAAAACUGAUAACCUAGAGGAUGAUAGAGGUAAGUGGAACUCCGAGUGUAGAGGUGAAAUUCGUAGAUAUUCGGAAGAACACCAGUGGCGAAGGCGACUUACUGGAUCAUUACUGACGCUGAGGCUCGAAAGCGUGGGGAGCAAACAGGAUUAGAUACCCUGGUAGUCCACGCCGUAAACGAUGAUUGCUAGUUGUCAGCCGGCAUGCCGGUUGGUGACGCAGCUAACGCAUUAAGCAAUCCGCCUGGGGAGUACGGUCGCAAGAUUA